AUGGUAUAAUAAAAUCGGAGGCCACGACUGUUUACUAAAAACACAAUUCAGAGCAAUAAUUAAGAUAAUAGUAUUCUGGAUGAAAUUUGCUCAAUGCCAUUAAUAUAAAAGAGGUAAUUUUAAAGUUACUAAUUGAAAGUCUGGUUAAUAGCGGUCUUAACUAUGAGGAUCCUAAGGUAGCAAAAUAAAUUGGCCAUUAAAUGUGGUCUUGUAUCAAUAAUGUAACGAUGGUCUCACUGUCUCUACAACUUGCUCAGUGAAAUUGAAUUGCGAGUGCAGAUGCUCGCUGUCUUCAGGGGGACGGGAAGACCCUAUGCAGCUUCUA
rnacentral:rRNA from 1 species